rnacentral:pre_miRNA from 7 species
UUCUUUGAAAGAACCUAGUGGGGAAACCCCCACUCAACUCCCGAUUCGGUGUGCACCCAAGAAUCACGAACAGACCA